rnacentral:rRNA from 1 species
AUUGAACGCUGGCGGCAGGCCUAACACAUGCAAGUCGAACGGUAGCACAGAGAGCUUGCUCUCGGGUGACGAGUGGCGGACGGGUGAGUAAUGUCUAGGAAACUGCCUGAUGGAGGGGGAUAACUACUGGAAACGGUAGCUAAUACCGCAUAACGUCGCAAGACCAAAGAGGGGGACCUUCGGGCCUCUUGCCAUCGGAUGUGCCCAGAUGGGAUUAGCUUGUUGGUGGGGUAACGGAUCACCAAGGCGACGAUCCCUAGCUGGUCUGAGAGGAUGACCAGCCACACUGGAACUGAGACACGGUCCAGACUCCUACGGGAGGCAGCAGUGGGGAAUAUUGCACAAUGGGCGCAAGCCUGAUGCAGCCAUGCCGCGUGUAUGAAGAAGGCCUUCGGGUUGUAAAGUACUUUCAGCGGGGAGGAAGGGAGUAAAGUUAAUACCUUUACUCAUUGACGUUACCCGCAGAAGAAGCACCGGCUAACUCCGUGCCAGCCGCCGCGGUAA